CAAUAGCGUAAAUAAAGUUGUUGCAGUUAAAAAGCUCGUAGUUGGAUUUCUGGAAGGGUGUCAAUGUCCGUCAACGUGCGUCUACAGCGGCGCUCUUCAUUCCUUCUUUUAACGCCUCUGGGAAUUUUCUUGCCUGUGGCGGGCUUAGAUAUUUUACCUUGAGAAAAUUAGAGUGUUUCAGGCAGGCUAGGCCCGAAUACAUUAGCAUGGAAUAAAAGAAUAGGACUAUGAUCUCUUUGUUGAUUUAAGGGACUAUGGUAAUGAUUAAUAGGGAUAGUUGGGGGAAUUAGUAUUUAAUUAUAAGAAGUAGAAUUCUCUGAUUUUUAAAGACUAAGUUAUACGANANUAUUUGNCAAGGAUGUUNUCAUU
rnacentral:rRNA from 1 species